AUGGCGGGCGGCGACAGCUUGGGCUGCUGCGGCGGCCUUCUUCAGGGUUUCUGCGGCCUCGCUCAGGUUUUCCUGGCUCCCCGGGGGCGUCCGUCUGCUGGAAUCCUCGCCAGGAGGCCCGGCGAUCUGUGCUCGAGUUCUUCUCAGGCUGGGAGAACGGGGUCGCCGCGGGAUGCGGAGAUCAUCUCCGACAUGGAGUACUCUCCCCAAGUGGCCAGGGAGCUGCUAUUCUCUUAUUAUCAGGAGGAGGACCUGCCCCGCGUGGCCAGGAACCCGCCGGCGGUGGCGGGCGAUCUGUGCACGAGUUCUUCUCAGCUUUGGAGAACGGGGUCGCCGCGGGAUGUGGGGGUCAGCUCCGGCAUGGAGGAGUCUCCCCCAGUGGACAGGGAGCUGCGUUUUGAUGACCAGGAGGAGGACCUGUCCCCCGUGGCCAGGAACUCGCCGGCGGCGGCGGGCGAUCUGUGCUCGAGUUCUUCUAUGGUUGGGAGCACGGGGUCGUCUCGGGAUGUGGCGGGCGAUCCGUGCUCGUGUUCUUCUAUGGUUGGGUGGACAUCGUGGGAUAUGGAGAUCAUGAUGGACAUGGAGUAUUCUCUCCCGGUGGCCAGGAAUUCGCCGGCGGUGGCGCCACCGCAGCAGAAGGGCAUGGCCGGUGGCGCUGAAGACGACGACGACGAUGAUGACUGCGUGAUUCUAGACAGUGAUCCUUUCGCCGCGGUCGCCGUGAAUGAUGAGAAGGAUGGCUGCUCGGAUGAGGAGUUGCAGAUAGUCGCGGAGAAAGGCAAGGUAGCAUGCCGUGACUUCCCUCACUCGCGCCAUUUAUGUUCCAAUAUGCCCUUCGGCGCUACCUCUCACGAGAAGCAUUGUGCCAUGUGCUACUGUUUUGUGUGCGACGCCCCAGCUCCAUGCAGUUAUUGGGGUAACGGUCUCUCGGUUGGCGAUCAUUGUCAUGCUACGGAUAAGGAAACCAAAUGGAAAAUGCUGAGGGAGGCAUUCAGGUGCAAAAAUCUUCCAGCGCCUCAUCCAGAAACAGAAACUGCUGUGCACCCAGCAAUGGUGUCACUCGACCGCCUUUUUCUUAGCAAUCAGAUUUCUCUUCAGGAUGUUGUGACCCAAAACCAACACACACAUACUUCAGUUAGAGCCUCACUGAGUGUAGCACCGACUGUCAAUGCGCCAAGAGAGGGAAGUGGUACAAGCAGUGCUCACACUGCUCAAGUUACUCGCCUAGGAGAGCCAACUGUCAGUGCACCAAGGGCACACCCUGUGGCAGGAGCUGGAAGAGGUACAAGCAACGCUCACACUGCUCAAGUUUCUGCGCCAAGAGCAUCCUCUGCAACAGGAGUUGGAAGAAGUGGUACCAGCAAUGCCCACAGUGCUCAAGUUACUCGCCUAGUACAGCCGACUGUCAGUGCACCAAGGCCACAGCCUGCAGCAGGAGCUGGAAGAGGUACAAGCAGCACUCACACUGCUCAAAUUACUCACCCAGUAGAGCCAACUGUCAGUGCAGCAAGAGCAUACUCUGCAGCAAGAACUGGAAGAGGUACUAGCAGUGCUCAGUCUGCUCAAAUUACUCACCCAGUAGAGCCAACUGUCAGUGCAGCAAGAGCAUACUCUGCAGCAAGAACUGGAAGAGGUACUAGCAGUGCUCAGUCUGCUCAAAUUACUCGCCCCGUGGAGCAAACUGUCAGUGCACCAAGAGUAUACCCUGCGGCAGGAGCUUCAAGCAAUGCUCGCUCUGCUCAAAUUACUUACCCCACCACUCCAGGUGGCUACCUGCCGGAGCCCAAUGUGCCGGAGGGGGCCACGGUGUACGUCGGGAACCUACCCUACCACAUUGACAAUGAGAGACUCAAGCUAAGCUUCCAACGUGCUGGGGCCGUCCUGUUCUCAAAGGUCAUUUACGACAGAGAAACAGGCCAGAGCCGUGGAUUUGGGUUUGUCACCAUGAAUACUGUUCAGGAGGCUGAGAAGGCUGUGACGAUCUAUCAUGGCUCUGGGAUGUAUGGCAGGCCUCUGACUGUAAAAAUCGCAGCUCCUAGAGGGGACGCCCGGGUGGACGCCCCUCGCCGUCAACCUGGUUCCCCACUCAGAAUAUUCGUAUGCAAUCUACCGAGUCAGGUGGACAACCCUCGGCUGGAGGAGCUGUUCAGCAAGCAUGGCAAAGUGGUUGAUGCAAGAGUUGUCUACGAGCGCCGAGAAGGGGCCUCGUGUUCGAGGGGAUUUGGUUUUGUCACAAUGGCGACCGGCGAGGAGUCGUACAAGGCGAUACGUGCCCUCAACAAGCAGAUUCUGGAGGGAAAUGCCCUUGGAGUGAAGGUUGCAAGGGAGCGGCCGAACCAAGGCUGCCUCUCUCUUGGCAACCAGAUUCCUCCUGAGAAUACUGCCAGUCAAAACCAACAUGCACAUACUUCGGUUGGAGCCUCACUGAAUGUAGUGCCAACUAUCAGUGCGCCAAGAGCAUACCGUGCAACAGGAGCUAGAAGUAGUACAAGCAAUGUUUCCACUGCUCAAGUUACUCGCCGACUAGAUCCAACUGUCAGUUCACCAAGAUCGGGUGAAUAUAGGAUGCUCGGUCCCUCUAGUUGA
rnacentral:rRNA from 1 species